GGGCCGGUAGUCUCAGCUGGUAGAGCGCCUGCUUUGCAAGCAGGAGGUCAUGGGUUCGAUCCCCAUCCGGUCCA
rnacentral:tRNA from 1 species